rnacentral:rRNA from 1 species
GACGAACGCUGGCGGCGUGCCUAAUACAUGCAAGUCGAACGCAGUGGGGACGGGUGAGUAACCCGUGGGUAAACUCCCAUCAGAGGGGAUCACACUUGGAAAAAGGUGCUAAACCGAUACUGCUGGAUGGACCAGCGGUGCAUUAGCUCGUUGGGAAGGUAACGGCUCACCAAGGCAACGAUGCAUAGCCGACCGGACAGGGGGAUAGGCCACACUGGCACUAAGACACGGCCCAGAACCCUACGGUAGGCAGCAGUAGGGAAUCUUCGUCAAGGGACGAAAGUCUGACCGAGCAACGCCGCGUGCGGGAAGAAGGUUUUCGGAACGUAAAACUCUGUUGUUAGAGAAGCGGUAUCUAACCAGAAAGCCACGGCUAACUACGGGCCAGCAGCCGCGGUAAUAC